rnacentral:rRNA from 1 species
CUACGGGCGGCUGCAGUGGGGAAUAUUGGACAAUGGGGGAAACCCUGAUCCAGCAAUGCCGCGUGUGUGAAGAAGGCCUGCGGGUUGUAAAGCACUUUCGGUUGGGAGGACUGCUUCUAGCACUAAUAUUGUUGGAAGUUGACGUUACCUUCAGAAGAAGCACCGGCUAACUCCGUGCCAGCAGCCGCGGUAAUACGGAGGGUGCAAGCGUUAAUCGGAAUUACUGGGCGUAAAGCGCGCGUAGGCGGCUAGAUCAGUCGGGUGUGAAAGCCCCGGGCUUAGCCUGGGAACUGCAUCCGAUACUGUCUAGCUUGAGUACAGGAGAGGAGAGUGGAAUUCCACAUGUAGCGGUGAAAUGCGUAGAUAUGUGGAGGAACACCAAUGGCGAAGGCAGCUCUCUGGCCUGAUACUGACGCUGAGGUGCGAAAGCAUGGGGAGCAAACAGGAUUAGAUACCCGCGUAGUC